AGAUGUAGGAUAAAGUCUUACAGUCCUUAAGUGUUCACAGAAGUUAAACUAGUUUGUUUUCUU
rnacentral:tRNA from 1 species